rnacentral:rRNA from 1 species
AAUAAGCGGAGGAAAAGGGACCCGUCUUGAAACACGGACCAUCUUGAAACACGGACUGCAUAUCAAUAAGCGGAGGAAAAGGGACCCGUCUUGAAACACGGACCAUCUUGAAACACGGACUGCAUAUCAAUAAGCGGAGGAAAAGGGACCCGUCUUGAAACAGGACCAUCUUGAAACACGGACUGCAUAUCAUAAGCGGAGGAAAAGAAACUAACAAGGAUUCCCCCUAGUAACGGCGAGUGAAGCGGGAACAGCUCAAGCCUAAAAUCUGCAAGUUGUUUUUACAAUCUUGUCGAAUUGUAGCUUAUGGAAUCAGUUAUCGGCCUUGCGGCCCAGUAAAAGUUCUUUUGAAUAAGACAUCAAAGAGGGUGAAAAUCCCGUAUUUGACUGGGUUUAUGGGAUUUGUGAACUGUUUUCUUUGAGUCGGGUUGUUUGGAAAUGCAGCCCUAAUUAGGAGGUAAAUUUCUUCUAAAGCUAAAUAUAAGCAAGAGACCGAUAGCAUACAAGUACCGUGAGGGAAAAGAUGAAAAGCACUUUGAAAAGAGAGUGAAAAGUACGUGAAAUUGUUGAAAGGGAACCGGUUGGUAGCAAAGCAUCCGCAGUUUGGGAGGGUAGCUUUUCGGAGUUGCACUUUUGGCGAGUGGGGGGUCAACAUCGGUUGGUAUUGCCUGAAAGGAGAAUUUACGUGUUAGCGAAGGUAAGGUAGAGUAGUUGGUGGCCAAUACGAAUUUCGGUUUGUGUUGGAAUCACGCUGAUUGCUUGUUAUAGACUUUCAUUUGCACGUUAUGAAGCCUUUGGGGUGGUAGAACACGGACUGCAUAUCAAUAAGCGGAGGAAAAGGGACC